AAACAAGUAUGAAAGAUAUCUAAAUACCGCUUUGUGAUUCUUCUUCUUAGAGCAUCUCCAGUCGUCGGGUCGAAGGGAGCAUCGAUUCGGGGCGUUGGGAGGGUGGCCGCGCUGGAGAGCCGGCCUGAUGCGAGGCCGCGUCGAAGUGGAGACCCGGGGCGAAGGAGAUAAAAGAUGGUCGCGUGUGGGAGACGCGCGGAAAAAAAAAAAAUUACGAGAAGAGAGGAGAGAUGGG
rnacentral:lncRNA from 1 species